CUACGGGGGGCAGCAGUCGAGAAUCUUCCGCAAUGGGCGCAAGCCUGACGGAGCAAUGCCGCGUGAGGGAUGACGGCCCUAGGGUUGUAAACCUCUGUCAGAAGGGACGAAGAACGUGACGGUACCUUCAGAGGAAGCCAUGGCUAACUACGUGCCAGCAGCCGCGAUAAUACGUAGAUGGCGAGCGUUAUUCGGAUUUACUGGGCGUAAAGGGUCCGUAGGGGGUCUGCCAAGUCUGAUGUGAAAUCCUGCGGCUCAACCGCGGAACUGCAUUGGAAACUGGCGGACUAGAGUGUGCGAGGGGUGAGCGGAAUUCCUGGUGUAGCGGUGGAAUGCGUAGAUAUCAGGAAGAACACCGAUGGCGAAGGCGGCUCACUGGCGCAUCACUGACCCUGAGGGACGAAAGCGUGGGUAGCAAACAGGAUUAGAUACCCGGGUAGUC
rnacentral:rRNA from 1 species